rnacentral:rRNA from 1 species
UACGUAGGGUGCGAGCGUUGUCCGGAAUUACUGGGCGUAAAGAGCUCGUAGGUGGUUUGUCGCGUUGUUCGUGAAAUCUCACGGCUUAACUGUGAGCGUGCGGGCGAUACGGGCAGACUAGAGUACUGCAGGGGAGACUGGAAUUCCUGGUGUAGCGGUGGAAUGCGCAGAUAUCAGGAGGAACACCGAUGGCGAAGGCAGAUCUCUGGGCCGUAACUGACGCUGAGGAGCGAAAGCUAGGGGAGCAAACAGG